GGGGAUUUAGCUCAGUGGUAGAGCGCUUGCCUAGCAAGCACAAGGCCCUGAGUUCGAUCCCCAGCUCCG
rfam:Rattus norvegicus chromosome 5, whole genome shotgun sequence.